rnacentral:rRNA from 1 species
GAUGAACGCUAGCUACAGGCUUAACACAUGCAAGUCGAGGGGUAACAAGAGGAAAGCUUGCUUUUCUUGUUGACGACCGGCGCACGGGUGAGUAACGCGUAUCCAACCUGCCUAUAACUAGGGAAUAACCUUGCGAAAGUAAGACUAAUACCCUAUGAUUUCCUUUGAUGGCAUCAGAUUAGGAAUAAAGAUUUAUCGGUUAUAGAUGGGGAUGCGUCUGAUUAGCUUGUUGGCGGGGUAACGGCCCACCAAGGCAACGAUCAGUAGGGGUUCUGAGAGGAAGGUCCCCCACAUUGGACCUGAGACACGGUCCAAACUCCUACGGGAGGCAGCAGUGAGGAAUAUUGGUCAAUGGGCGGAAGCCUGAACCAGCCAAGUAGCGUGCAGGAUGACGGCCCUAUGGGUUGUAAACUGCUUUUAUACAGGAAUAAAGUUAGCCACGUGUGGUUAUUUGUAGGUACUGUAUGAAUAAGGACCGGCUAAUUCCGUGCCAGCAGCCGCCGUAA